CCCUGUCUUUACAAAAAAAAAAAUAAUAAUUUUUUUCCUUUUUGGUAGAGACAGGGUUUUACUGUGUUUUUUCGGGGGGAAGAAAAACUGAUGUCUGGAACUGGCAGGGAACCUGAAGAGUUUAUGUGGUUUACCAUUGUGUCUGUGCCUUGGACUCUUUUUAGCAAGUAAAAUCUAAUUGAGUUUAAUUGAAUGUGUUCCCAAAUAAAAGGCAGAGAUUUUCAGAUUGGGCAGAGAAAGUAAAACCAACAUCAAAAAAUUAACCUUCAGUCCCAGCUUACUCGGGAGGCUAAGGUGGGAGGAUCACUUGAGCCCAGAAGUUCAAGGUUACAGUGAGCUAUAAUUGCACCACUGCACUGUAGCUUGGGUGACAGAGCAAGACCCCAUCUCUAAAAAAAGAAAAAAGAAAAAGAAAUCAGCU
rnacentral:lncRNA from 10 species